rnacentral:rRNA from 1 species
GCCCGAACGGCUAUUGUGCCGACAAUGACUUCUCAGGUCAUUAAAAAUAGCCUCCACAUUGAUUCGGAAUUUUCCGUACAGAUGGAUCCAAUGGAGCUCUUCUCCCUCAAUGAGAUCUUGGAUCGCAUCGGCGCCCUGGGCGUCGCUACGGACUAUGAUCGGAUCGGGCUUAAACCUGAUCAAAGGGAGAUUCACUCUCCACCGGUCACCCAUGAGAUAGCGGUAGUGGAAGAGCAUGAUCCUAAUUCUCCCUCCACUUUGAGGACAAACUAUGUCCGGAUUUCCGAGCUCUCCGAGCUGGACACCCGCUCGCGG